UUGGAACCAUUCACACCUCCUCCUCUGGCACCUCUCACCAGGCCUGUGGGGCCCAGAUGCAAGAGAGAAAGGAAGGAAGAUUCAAGCAACUGCGAUGGCGUUCAGACUUAAGUUCCCAGCUGGGUCAAGGUCACGAUGGGCUGGUUAAGCCGGCAGGUAGGCAGUGUCAGCAGUAGCGCACCGGCCUGUCCUGGAAUGUGCGAGGGGCGUGACGACAACAGCUGCCUGGGGCCUUUUUGCCAACACCUCGGCUAUAUAUAUACCUGGGCCACCGCGGUCCCCCUGGGUGCCUUCCUGGGCCAUGUACCUGCGCGGAACGCUGGAGUUCUUUUAGCCUGGUCUGUGUUGGGUAUUCCUGAAAAAGUGGUGCCUCGUACGAGUGACAUUGAUUCAGGCUGUUAAGAGUGUUUGAACCUCUCCGCGGUGCCAGCCAACCUGCUGAUAAUGAUCUCUUCUGUAUUUCUGUAAUGUUGGGAACUGGUGGCAAGAAGGGCAGGCGUUGUGGAAGGUUUGGAUGUUAAACCGAUUGCCCCCUCCACAAUCUACCCCAAAUCACUCAACCAUGUCACUGAAACAGGUCCCAGGGGUGGGUGGACUGUGGUGUGGAUUAUUGCUGUUACGCAUAAAGCCAACAUCAAAAUAGCCUGGAUUCAGUUUAAUGAAGAAAACAGCUUCUCGGGAUCAGUGAUUCGGAAUAUAGUUUCAAUACCACUUCAGCCACCUUCUGCCCACCUUCCUUACUCCACUGCCCCCACCUUCACCCUGGGGACAGAAAGGCAGUACCCACAGGGCACGGUCAGGACAUCCCAGUGAACUAAAAUGCACAAGAGUACAAAAUGAGGACUGCAAAGGAUUGCAAUCUGUUUAAGACAUUUAUUUUUAUUUACUA